GUUUGGACAGCCUGUCCAAAAAUAUUAAAUGGAAGCCUAAGUAGUAAACAAAUAAAACAAGGAUAUCAUAAACUGGAUUGCACAGUGUCACAGUAAGUAAAGUGUAACCUUCAUUUUAAACACAUGAUACAAAGCUGGCCAUAAUGCAACUGAAGAUCAUAUAUUUUGAUUUGUUUGUUGAUUCAUUACUGAAAUUACAUGGUAAGCGUGUAGCUAUUUCCCCUCAUCUCAAAAUACCGUAUCAAGUUCCGAAUACUAGGAAGAGAAAAAAAGACACGAAAAAUAGUAUAAUACACAG